AGCCACACACACUCCAAUCUCUUGCCUUCUCUCAAUCUCUCGUUCAUCCCACUCACAGUGACUAUUUCUUUCGCUCUCUCUGGUUUGGAACCAUCGUUCAGCGACCUCUCUCUCUCAUUCUCUUUCAGAUGUGGGUGCUAAGGAUCAAUGAUGAAGGGUCCCAAGAAAGGGCUUUGGGACGAUGAUGAAAAGACGCAAUAAGGGGCGAAGCAGAUGCUCCCCAAAGUGCUUUGACCCUUUCUUCUCCCUAGCGCGAACCAGAGGCCUUUCCUCCAUGGGCGAUGGGCAACCGAGUCUGUCCAUUAUGUGAAGUAAGUUUAACGGCGCCAUUCACAAGGGUAUGCCCCACAAGUUCUACCAUGGCCGAACUGGGCGUGUCUGGAACAUCACCAAGCGCGCUAUUGGCAUGGAGAUUAACAAGCAGGUUGGGAACCGCAUCAUUAAGAAGAGGAUUCAUGUUCGUGUGGAGCAUGUCCAGCCCUCUAGAUGCACUGAGGAGUUCAGAAACAGAAAGUUAAGGAACGAUAAGCUCAAGGCCGAGGCCAAGUUGAAGGGUGAGGCCAUCAGCACCAAGAGGCAGCCAGAGGGUCCCAAGCCAGGUUUCAUGGUCGAAGGAGCUCAGUUGGAAACUGUCACCCCCAUUCCUUAUGAUGUUGUCAACGAUCUCAAGGGUGGUUAUUAGAUCUUUUUAUGUAUUAUUUUUUCUUCUCAAUGUUCUAUUCUGUUCUGUUCUUGUCUGGUUUUGAUUUUGUUUUCAAUACUACCAAUGGAAACGUUUCCUUAAUUAGUUCAAGUACUCAAAGCCGUUGUUAGUUUUCA